ensembl:lncRNA
CUGAUGACACAGCUAAACAAAGCUGCAGUAACACUCUCAGUGGGUUUUCACACAGUGCCACACUUAAAUCGCAGUUGUGUACAGGCUUAGGAUUGGUGCAACCCCUUUAAAGCGUCUCUGUUGCCUCUUGCGCUCUAUUACAUGGCGUCUCUCCCACAAAUGUAACUUUUUCAGGAAUGUGGAAAUCCCACCUAAUUCUUCUUCUAUUUUUUUUUUUUACAGUGAAUCUUGGCAGCAGCAUCACAUUCCAGCAACAGCCACAGAUCAGCCUCGACUGACAAAGUUGGACCGCUCGCUAAAGUGGAAACUGCACCUUAACCAGCCUGUGUUUUGGUUCCUGAGUAAAAUAUGUGAGGUCAGAAUGCCAGGAUAUUAGCUGGCAGGCAAGACUGCACCCCACUAAAGGGAUGCAUGCGGACUGUUGGGCAGAUAUUCAUUCCACUGCACAAUUUAAUUACUUAGUAAGUUUGCAAGUAUUGUUGGAGGUAAUGGCUGGAGUAAUAUCUUUUAAUGGGAGGGUCUGUGGUCUGUGGCAUACUGAGGGGAGACUGUGAUAACAGCCCCUGCUGUGUUGCGGGUGGGUUUCAGCUCUAACUUGCCCUUCACACAGGAAAAGUUGAUGCGCAACAGGAAAACUGUGUUUAUAUAUAAACAGAUUUCAAGGCUGUAUAGGAUGUAAAAGCUAAACCCAAAGUGGUCUUCCAACUCACACCUUUAAGGCUAGUCUAGUCUUGUCAGGCAACCAGUGGCAAUUGCAGGAAAUUUCGACUCCUCUUUAAGAAACAUGCGGGGAUUUUGUUAUCUUCUGACAAAGCCGGGCGAAAUGUCUGGCUGCUUUGAUAUAUAUUUAAAAAAACAUCUACAAGAGAUGCAAUGACACUCUCACCCAUCUUGCGGCAUGAAAACAAAGAAUAUAUUUCCCAACUAGCCAAACAGCUUUACAGGGUACUUAAAAGUUGAUGGCAAACCUUUAAAAGGAGACUCUUGCAUGGCUCUGUGUCUGAAGGUUGUUUUGGUUAAGCACGUGCCCUCACGCGUAAUGGAAAAUUUACAAUUGAUUAACUCGGCGCUGGCUAAAUUACACAUGACUACUUGAAGGAGAAAAUUGUCUGCCAUGUUUUGAGAUCAAUGAUUGUCAGUUCUGGAGUGGGUAAACCAAGGAGAAUGAGGAGGUGACCCAAAUAGCCCAGAU